ACAAGCAUAUGACUACUGGCAGGAUCAACCAGGUAGCACGUCCUCAACGCAACCACAGCCUCAACCCCCCACAACCAUACAUUUCAUAUGGCAAGAGGAGAAAGAACCAGAGUCGCACCAAGGUGAAGGGCACUAUCACUUGGAUAAAUCUACUCGAGCAUGGAGGCAUGGCAUAACACCAGCAACCAAUUUCAAAGAGCCGCACUUACAACAAUAUAUUGAGGCCCGCAUUCCACCACCCCACAAAACGAGAAAUAUCAUGAGACACUGCUCGAAGGAGAAGGUGGAAGGGUCCCAUUUCACAGGGCGAUCUCCAUGCCUUUGAGAGAGGCAUAGAGGCUUACCCACGAGGCAUCCACAUAAAUUAAUACCACCCACAUAAGGAUUCCAGAUGCAAGCAACUAUUUUAUAUACAAAAUCAAUCUUCGAAAGUAUCUAGAGCGAUCAAGUGAGAGGACUGCAUAAUGAUAGUUGGCCUCACAAAAGAAGCCACCAACCAAUACUAGCAAGGUCCGCAACANCUCAUAUGA
rnacentral:misc_RNA from 1 species